GUACUUAUAGCUCAAUUGGAUAGAGCGCUAAACUACGGAUUUAGAGGUUGAAAGUUCGAGUCUUUCUAAGUAUA
rnacentral:tRNA from 1 species